UACGGAGGGUGCGAGCGUUGUCCGGAAUCACUGGGCGUAAAGGGCGCGUAGGCGGCCUGAUAAGUAGGGGGUGAAAUCCUGCGGCUUAACCGCAGGGCUGCCUUCUAAACUGUCAGGCUUGAGCACAGUAGAGGCAGGUGGAAUUCCCGGUGUAGCGGUGGAAUGCGUAGAGAUCCGGAAGAACACCGGUGGCGAAGGCGGCCUGCUGGGCAGUUAGCUGACACUGAGGCGCGACAGCGUGGGGAGCAUACAGG
rnacentral:rRNA from 1 species